UAUUACAGUCUAGAUCAAGAAUCUGUUUGUGUAUUACAGUCUAGAUAAACAAUAUGUUUUUGUAUUACAGUCUAGAUCAAGAAUCUGUUUGUGUAUUACAGUCUAGAUCAAGAAUCUGUUUGUGUAUUACAGUCUAGAUAAAUAAUAUGUUUUUGUAUUACAGUCUAGAUCAAGAAUCUGUUUGUGUAUUACAGUCUAGAUCAAGAAUCUGUUUGUGUAUUACAGUCUAGAUCAAGAAUCUGUUUGUGUAUUACAGUCUACAUAAACAAUAUGACGAAUUCAGUAAUUGGUGAGACGACAUAGCAGUGAUUGGAGAAUGGUUUAACGACGUUCAUCAUCGGCUUCAACCGUGUUUCAAGAACGACAGACUUUAAAACGCAUACACGAAUUGGGCGUAAAACAGACAGAACACAACGUAUUUGUUUUAGUUUCUAAAUAGCAUUUAUAAAUUGUGUUCAGUUAUUACUUGUUAAAAGUGUGCAUGGAUGUUAUCAACACCCUGUGUACCAUAACGUGCUGUAUCGGACAUUUUCUGAUUGCAAGUGAGUAAACAGACUCAAAAAGAGAAAGACAGAUUCGCUAGUAAACUUGUAAAAUCUAUAGCAACAAAGGUCCUCCGACUUGUAGUAAUAGAAGAGUAGUUCGACAGUAGCCGUGUAAAGCGAAUCCAGCUUAGUUUGACAAACCAGUAGUAAUAGAAGAGUAGUUCGACAGUAGCCGUGUAAAGCGAAUCCAGCUUAGUUUGACAAACCAGUAGUAAUAGAAGAGUAGUUCGACAGUAGCCGUGUAAAGCGAAUCCAGCUUAGUUUGACAAACCAUUCACAAAGGCCAAAUAACAGUAGUUUAUAGAUUUAUUACACACUAUUUUUGACUUUGAAUUAAUAGUGUUCUAUGAAUGAAUGCAUGAAUGAAUGAAUGCAUGAAUGAAUGAAUGAAUGAAUGUUUAACGUCAUCCCAACCUAAUUUCAGCUACUGGAUGUCAGAAAAAGGUAUGUGAACGAAGGAAAGUUGGUGAAACAUUCACCAAAACAAUGUGUGGAGCUGUGGUUAGUAAUAAACAGACGUUUAAAAUGUA